GACAGAGGGGGCAAGCGUUGUUCGGAAUUACUGGGCGUAAAGGGCGUGUAGGCGGUUUAGCAAGUCAGAUGUGAAAUCCCGGGGCUUAACUCCGGAAGUGCAUUUGAAACUGCUAGGCUAGAGUGCAGUAGAGGUUGGCGGAAUACCCAGUGGAGAGGUGAAAAUUCGUAGAUAUUGGGUGGAACACCGGUGGCGAAGGCGGCCAACUGGGCUGUUACUGACGCUGAGGCGCGAGAGCGUGGGGAGCAAACAGG
rnacentral:rRNA from 1 species